rnacentral:rRNA from 1 species
GAUGAACGCUAGCGGCAGGCUUAAUACAUGCAAGUCGAACGGGAUUGAGAAGCUUGCUUUUCAUGAGAGUGGCGCACGGGUGCGUAACACGUAUGCAACCUGCCUUGUCCAGGGGGAUAGCCCGUUGAAAGACGGAUUAAGACCGCAUAACAUCAUUGAAUGGCAUCGUUUAAUGAUCAAAUAUUUAUAGGGACAAGAUGGGCAUGCGUCUGAUUAGCUAGUUGGCGGGGUAAUGGCCCACCAAGGCGACGAUCAGUAGGGGACCUGAGAGGAUGACCCCCAACACUGGUACUGAGACACGGACCAGACUCCUACGGGAGGCAGCAGUAAGGAAGCUUGGUCAAUGGGCGCAAGCCUGAACCAGCCAUGCCGCGUGCAGGAAGACGGCCCUACGGGUUGUAAACUGCUUUUAUACGGGAAUAACCCCGGUUUCGUGAAACCGGCUGAAUGUACCGUAAGAAUAAGGAUCGGCUAACUCCGUGCCAGCCGCCGCCGUAACAC